GAAAAUUGAAGGUCCUAAAGAAGCUGCUAACUUCCUAAAUUGCGGUUCAACCCCGUGAAAUUUUCG
rnacentral:tRNA from 1 species